AACAAAGGAACAAUUGAACAAACAAAAAAGAAACAUAAUAGGUCUGUUCCUUUGUUUUUUAGUGUUACACUUUUGAGUGUAAGUGUACGAAAUUCUAUGGACAUUUGAGUGUAAAAUGACAGCGGAUGUGACAGCGGCUCAUGACAGCGGACAGUAUUAAACGAAAAUUAUCGGUGUGCCAAUCAAGCAAAGGGACAAGGAACUUCCGAAUAUGGCCUAACUGGGGGCACAUAACAUAACAUAACCUAAUCCUAAUAUUUACAUUUGUAAAGAAUAUCCUGUUUGUUUUUAUUGUCGAUUGUGCAGCAAAUCAAAUAUAAAGUAGUUUAUCGCCUACAGAACUGAAUUAGUCCAUAGCAGUUAUCAGUUUUUCUUUCUUGGGAAGCUUAUACAUGUAACUUGUAUUGUUGUAAAUUGUGGGAGUAGGGCAGACAGGGAAAAGUCUUAUUUUGUACUGUUCCCAAGGCUCCCCAUGCAAUACAUUUAAAUGAAUUAUCCAAACAAAGCUGGGGACAAUGGAUAAAAGCCACAAGAAGAACAGAUAUAAGGGAACUAAAAUUAAAAUAUGAAAAGUAAACAUUUUAUAAGUGGAACAACCACCAGAUAUUUAAAAGGUAUAAAAAGAAGAAACUGCUGGAAUUUCAAAACAAAUGUGUUUGACUAGUAAAGAUUUGGAUAAAUAACAGGAGUUACUUUGGGCUAUAGCUAAGUGCAGAUUUAUUUCCUUGUGGCUUCCUAUGUUAAUUCUUAUUAAUUAUACACUUAAAUAUGUUUUUAGUCUCAGGAAGAUUUUAUAUUUGAUUAUUUUUGAAUAAACAUUAUUAUUAUUAUUACCUUAAUUUCCAUUAAAUAAAUUAACUGUAAUCAAUAAAGUAAUCGUUUAAUUGUUAAUAAAUUAUCAAGUAUGA